ensembl:lncRNA
CUUUGAGGCGGUGCUGUGACGUUUGAGGGCCUGUGCCCGCACCUCCUGGUUGGAAGUCCCCUCAAACUCCUUGGGGGAAAGGUUUAGUGAUGAUUCUGACAUAUGUAGAAACCCAAUGUGUGCCCCGUCGAGGUGAGAAGUCAGAAGAACUGUAGUCUUCAGCUGCGGGUAAUCUUAAGGCCUGUGGCCCCCUGGAGGGGGAGGCCACCAUGGUGGUUUUGUCAGCAUGGUGGAAUUUGGGGUAGUUUCUUUUCCUCCGAGAAUUGUCCUCAGUAUCUUUCUUUACAGAAGACUCUUGAAGCUAUCCCUGUGAGGCACGGGACCUUGAGAGCACUUCCCCGUGUGCGUGCCCGGCCGUGCCUUCUCUCACUGAGGGACAGAAGCCAACCUCGUUCUGUACUGGCCAGGCACCCUCUUCAUCCUCACCCUCACCUCCAGGCUCCAGCUACAUGCGCCUUUUCCCAGUUUCUGAGACCUGAGCCCCAGGGUGCCCCCCAGGUCUGGACAACCUCUUCCCUUCCCUGUUCAUCCUUCAACCUCAGCCCGCCGGGGGAUGGGGGCCCAACCUCCCAGACGCCUCCCCUGACCUCCCAACAAGGCCAACAUCCCUACUGUAUGCUGCCAUUUCCGCCAAGCUGGGAGCUCCGUAAACGCAGGGACCAGGAGCACUGGCGGCAUCGGCCACCGAGAGCU